CCCGUUUGGGAUCAUUGCGGUUUGGGUUGUAAACCUCUUUUCUCAGGGAAGAAGAAAGUGACGGUACCUGAGGAAUCAGCCUCGGGCAAAUUCGUGCCCGCCACCGCGGUAAGACGGAGGAGGCCAACGUUAUCUGGAAUUAUUGGGCGUAAAGGGUCCGUAAGUGGUGAUUCAAGUUUGCUGUCAAAACCCAGGGCUUAACUCUGGAGAGGCAGUGGAAACUGAAUAAGUAGGGUGCGGCAGGGGCAAAGGGAAUUCCCGGUGUAGCGGUGAAAUUUGUUGUUUUUGGGGAGGACCCCGGUGGGGGAAGCGGUUUGCUGGGCCGCGAAUGACACUCACAAGACGAA
rnacentral:rRNA from 1 species